rnacentral:rRNA from 1 species
AUACUGGCGGUCUUUAUAAAUUAGAGAAACUCGCUUUAUAAUCGUAAACACCCGAUAAAUUUUACUUUAUAUAUUUAGCUUAUAUACCGCCGUAUAGAUUAAAUCCUUCAUAAACCACAAAAUCAAAUUGAUCAAAAAUCAGGUCAAGGUGUAGCUUACGAUAAAGAAAAAGUAAGUUACACUAAAAACAAUUUAAGAAAAAAAAUUUAAAAUAGAAAAAGAAUUUAUUUGUACAACUUGAUUAAAACCCAAUAUAGAAUUAAAAUAUAAAGACGC